AUUGAACGCUGGCGGCAGGCUUAACACAUGCAAGUCGAGCGAGCGGCGGGCGGGUGAGGAAUGUCUGGGAAACUGCCUGAUGGAGGGGGAUACCUACUGGAAACGGUAGCUAAUACCGCAUACCAUCAGAUGUGCCCAGAUGGGAUUAGCUAGUAGGUGGGGUAAUGGCGACCCUAGGCGACGAUCCCGAGCUGGUCUGAGAGGAUGACCAGCCACACGGGAACUGAGACACGGUCCAGACUCCUAGGGGAGGCAGCGGUGGGGAAUAUUGCACAAGGGGCGCAAGCCUGAUGCAGCCAGGCCGCUGGGGUGAAGAAGGCCUUCGGGUUGUAAAGUACGUUCAGCGAGGAGGCGUUACUCGCAGAAGAAGCACCGGCUAACUCCGUGCCAGCAGCCGCGGUAAUUC
rnacentral:rRNA from 1 species